rnacentral:lncRNA from 1 species
GGAAGUGGACUCAUUUUCCACCGGAAGGAGGGAGAAAUUAUGACCGAGAGCCUGACACCUGAUGCUAGCGGCUUUUGUCUCGCCAAGUUGACCCAGUAUUUGGCCACCUUGUGCGGCGGGUGACUAUGGUGUCCAGGUAAUAUGACAUCUGGUGCUUGUGUAGCUUUAGGUUUGCCCUGCAUUAAUGCUGCCAGCUCAAGUGGACCCUGAGUUAUUGCUAUUAUCUUUCUUAUACUACAGUGGAAACAUGUAGGACAGUGGAAACCUGUCAAGGAAGGGAGCCUAAGAGGUCCAAAAAGGUAUAUAUAUGUAUUACCUGAAAGCCCAGGGCAGUUGUUGCCUUGGGUCAUGCAGAGAAUAUGCAGCCACACCCAUGCCUUAGAUGUGUGUAAUUCAAGUGGAGAAGACACAAGCCAGUGGUCGCAAUAUCAACACUUGAGUGUUCUGUAAACGGAUUGGUGUCAGCAGAAAACCAACAGUGAUGUGGUGGCACACAGUGAACUGACAGGACCCAGGCAGCAGCGGUUCUUUUGGUGGCAAUGGUGCCAUGUCAUGGGUACUCUCCUUGCUGAUGGCAGAUACCGACAGGCAAACUGUUGCCUUGCGUUUAGCUCUGUUAACCAUUGACAGUAAGAUUUAUCAGAGGUUGCAGCUGCACAUGGCCAUGAGGUAAACCUUGCCCCUGUUUGAAAUUGAGUUUCAUCAGCUUCUACAUGGGAUUAUAAGGACUUGGAAUAUAUCACAGACCCAGCAGGGUUUCCCCCCUCAUUUUUUUUUUUUAAGAUUUAUUUUUCUUCCUAAAGAUAACAUGCUUAAACAAAGUUCUUUAUGGUUAGUAACUGUGAUGCUUGAAGUUGGUUAUCCCUUACUCCAGUAAAUUUUAAAUGUCAAAGAUAUCUUGUUAAAUAAAAAAAAAACUAUCAAAA